rnacentral:rRNA from 1 species
GACGAACGCUGGCGGCGUGCCUAAUACAUGCAAGUCGAACGCAGUGGGGACGGGUGAGUUACACGUGGGUAACCUCCCAUCAGAGGGGAUAACACUUGGUAACAGGUGCUAAACCGAUACUGAUGGAUGGACCCGCGGUGCCUUAGCUAGUGGGUGAGGUAACGGCUCACCAAGGCCACGACGCAUAGCCGACCGGAGAGGGUGAUCGGCAACACGGGAAAUGAGACACGGCCCAGACUCCUACGGGAGGCAGCAGUAGGGAAUCUGCGGCAAUGGACGAAAGUCUGACCGAGCAACGCCGCGUGAGUGAAGAAGGUUUUCGGAUCGUAAAACUCUGUUGUUAGAGAAGCGGUAUCUAACCAGAAAGCCACGGCUAACUACGUGCCAGCCGCCGCGGUAAUUC